UAUAUCAGUAUAUUUUUCACCUCCGGCCAAAUAAACCCGGUGUAUCGGGGCUGCGUUUUGGUGAGGCUAUUUUUGUAUUCUACAGAGAGAAUUUGAAGCGGGUCGAAUAAAACCGGCAAGGAAGUGCGGGUGGGUGCAUGGAUGGACCUAGUUGUUGAACACAAUCCCCAAUAAAUUCCAAAAGAUAUUUUGAGAGGCAACAUUUACUAUCUUAAACCUCCUCGGAUAUUUUCCCUUCCCUUGCCACUUCCACUUCGACUGAGUCACCAGGGUACCGAUUGUUUCAUCUUGUGGCUCGCGGAUUUUUAUGUAUUGGUAGGAGUUCUGUGCUCCUAAUAUAAUGUACCAUGUAAACCUUUAAACCUACCUCAACUGACAUGUCUCUCCACAUUCCUUUUGUGUAUUACCCUGUGUCCUUCACCUCAUAGUAAGUUUGAGAAGCACAACAUGAUGGUGAUUAUGUUUAUACUUUUGAUCUGCAAAUACCAAUGUAAUUCAAUAUCAGAAUAAAAUAACCAAGAACCAGAAGAAAUAUGCGUAGGCUGUUACUCUAGUACAUUGCAAGUCAAAAAUUUGUCGUAGAAUGUAAUUAAUUUGUAGGUCUUGCAGAUUUAGCACUAGAUAGUUAAUUUGGUAAGUUAUGCUCAUUUGGAUUGAAAAUAAUAGUGCCAAUUAAUGUGAUUGUAGUGGUCUCUUUUUAGUUUGGAUUUUGGUAAGCAGGUGCAAAAUUCUUGAACUCGAUAGUUCUAUGUUCUCAUUUAUUAUUUAUAUUUGCUUCUAUUCCAUAUUUUGACGUUGGGUUAAGGAUGAGAGAUGAAUAGCACAUAGGCAAGCAUUGUUAUGUAGUUUAUUUGACUACCAUAGUGUUUAAUCUUUAUACACAUGUAUUUAUGGUAUCUGCUUAAUCUGGAUUGCUUAGAAAAAACUCUACAAGCAAUGGUUUGUACGUGGUAUGGUGUUUCAUAGAAUAAGAUCUUCUCCAUCGUUAGAAUUGUAAAAUUUUGCAUUAGUGCGUAUAAAUAUCUAUAAUACAUGCAUAGCUUGAACAGUAGUCCUGAAUGGAUGAGAGAAAAGAAAAUUAUGGUCAAUACUAAAUUAUUUGCACUUCUGAGGAGUUUGGAGAUAGGAGAGCUGUUGUUUUGUAUGAGUGGAAUCUGUAAAGAUUUUUGUGCGACUGUUAUGGAUUAGAUUGGUGUUCCAAAUGAUGAUUUAUUUAUUAUCAUGAGCACUGCAAGAGUUAAGAGGAAGACCUAAUGGUCUAUAGAUCAUGCUGUUGGAAAAAUAUAAGCUGGAUUCAACUAAUUAUCUGGCUUGUAGUUGAGCGAAAUUGUGAAAGUGAAUCUCUUAAUAGGUCUUACUUAUCUAGGAUUUGCAUACUCCUAUAAACAGAAAAAUUUAAAUAACAAAAAGAGAAAUUAGCUGGAUAUUAUGUCAGGAUAUUAAGUUGAUGUCUAGUGAGUCUACAAAGCACUUGAAGUUUGUCUCUUGACACCCUUCAAGCUUGUUGCAGACAUAUUCAUGUUUGAGUUAGUCCAAGGUUGUACUUUUUGGAAUAUUUCAGUACCUAGAUCAUAUAUAUAGUUACAGUUCAGAUUUCCUUGAGCAUAAUCAAGCUGUGGAGAUAGAGCUGCUUGAUAGAGAAUCUAGAUCGUCUAGCUCCAUAAAACUUAUCUUGUAAGCUACGGUGGCCUUGUUAGAUCUUUAUUAAGGAGCCCUUAAGCCUAUUAUUUUAUGCAUGGUGCUUCACAGAAGCUCUAUAGUUGAAAGAAAAUCCUAUCUCUUUUACGUAUAAAAUUGUGUGCCUUAUUGUAUGCGUUCAGUUGUUGAUGUCCUUUCUGUCAAAAAAGGACAAUUUUGUUAGCAUAAUUGCAGAGAUACUUGUCUUUUACAAUGAACCUAUUGCAUCCAUGUAAUUCUUGGGUGUCAUAAAUGAAUUGGAGGAAUAAUGCAGCAAAGGUUCCUAUCCUACUUCAAAUGUUUACCUUCUGCAAUUUAUUCCGCCAUAGUUUGCAAUUGGGGGUUAGAUGUCUUUGUUUCUGUUGCAGGUUUUGGAGGAACUUUGCUAAAGAUCAGUUUUGAUGGAGACUGUUAUUUCUGUAUAUAAUAGUGUUACUGAUUCUCUAUUUGGUUCUACUAGACUGCUAGUGAGUCUCUGAUUGAUUUCUUUCCAAACAUACUAGAAAAGCGAUAUCAGAUACCAUUGUUUAUGAUUUAUAUUCCGUUUAGAUAGUUAAGAAUAAUUAUAAGCACACAAAUAUCUUAUCUUAUUUUUCUUAAUAUGCAACUUUACAGUAUAUGUUGGGCUUCACUUAUGACUCCGGAUGAUCUAGAUACCACAUACAAGGUGCUGCCUCGUAGUUUGGCUGUUCAGGCUGGCUUAAUCGGAGAUGGGUGGGGAUGUUGGAGUUUUCUUCACAGUUGAAACCACCAUACAGGAUGAAGGAAUUUCCAGUUAUUGUAUUUUCAUCCCUUAUGCCAUAAACCUGAAAGAAGAUAACCGAGGUUGAGCUGAACAAAGACUUUUGGUUCAUGUUCUUACAUGCUAUGUAAAUUCAAAAGAGAAGGAUCAUACCGAUGAGACUCUUGCAAGUUGUGCAGUUGCUGCCUUAAGACUGCUGCCUCCCUUUGCCAAAACUAUGACGUCCAUCAUCCAUUAUAAGAUCCAACAUAUGCUUCCAUAUCUUCUGAAGAAACUUGAAUUAUUACUAGAUGAUGUGAAUUUUCUGAACAAGAAAACCUACCUGCCUAACUUAUUUCUGGGCCUCGCAAAUUAAAAGAACCAGAGAGAAUUGCCAAAAUGGGUGCAUUGUGAGAGGGAAUGAGGAGUUACUGAUAUAGUAUACCUUAACUUCUGAAGUUGGAUUCAACAAUUGUUGAUGCUCUUCUUUUGUCUUGUUGUAUCGCUCAAUAAUCGAUUUCAUGCUGCCAAAAAUAAAUAUAUACAUUAGGUUUUUGUACAGACAUAUCUAGCAUAAUUAAAGAAUUAAGCAAAAGAUGGUGGCUUAACUAAUAAAGACGCAGUGAAUAGAAAAGCAUAAUUUAUUGCAUUUUACUCAUCAUUCUCGUAAGGUUUCUAUGUGGAUCAAGUUAAGUUCUUUGUGAUUAAAAAUUUCAUAUCAAUAGGUCAGGAGAAAGAGUAUGUUAUAUAAGUCUUUUCAUACGUCAAUUAUGAGAAACCGAAAAAAUUUUGUUGUACGGUCUGUAGCCGAUUAACAUCCUGUGUCCUGGUAAAAUCUCAAAAUGAACAACUAACACUUGUUAUAACUAAUGAUGAGCCCUUGGACACUAAAAGUGAUAAACUGAUCUAUUGAACAGGCUGUUUAAUUGAAUACGGCUGCAUGCUAGUGUUAAAAAUCUUACGAACAAUAAAAAAUGAACCAACUGAUUACUUAUUUCUACAUUUACGGGCUGAAUUUCGUGGAUGAAAACAAUCUUUACAGAAAAAGAAGGAAAGGCUGCAUCUGAUAGACUAGUCUUUAAUGCUUUCUGCAAAGUAGAAACUGUUGAUUUUUUCAUGGAAGAUUUCCAUGUUGAUUAUUGUUCUUUUGAAACUUUUUAAUAUCUAUACGCAAAUAUGCUAAUUUUGUCCAUGUUUUUAAUGUCUGAUGUCUGCCACUUAUUUCUCUGCUGGCUUCUCAGGCUUCUCUCUUGUUCCUAGCUUAUCAUAUGGACUAUAUAAUAAGUUGUAAUUAAUUUCAUUUCUUCCUCUGGUCUGACCACAAGAAUGCUGUACUUGUAUGAACUUGUGAAUCUAUAUGUUCUUGAAAUUAUACGAGGUGAAAGUAUACAAUAUGAUAUGAAUUUUCUCUAGUUCGGGUGGUACCUUUUCACAACAAAUCACUUUUGAGCUUUUCCUCCAUUCUACUUGUAAACUGCAAAAUUUCUAUAUUCAAAACUCAAUCAAAAUUUUAGGAACCCGAGCUGACGUAAAAAUUUUACCAUUGACUAGUCUUGGCCGGGUAUGAAUGAUGAGAUGGGGCUGGUUAGGUAUUCGGCUUGAUUCUUGCCUGAGAAAGAGGGUAUAAGAUGAAAUUAGUCCUGCUUCAGAUUUCUUUUCCCUCAUGCUAUGUUUGAGAAGUUGCAUAGGGAGGAAAGAAACAUUUUGUUUGGAUGAGUGGAAAAUCAAAAGGGUGGAGCCCCAUCUUUCAUUUCCCUCUCAUUUUUUCUUCUUUUGUUUUAAAACAUAAAAGUUUUUCCUUCAAAAUAGAGAGGACAUAUAGUGGAAAAAUAUAAUAUAUCUUCUUUCCUUUCUUACUUUUAAACGUAAGAAAAUCAUUUCCACCCUUUAUUUUCCUCCCCUCCUUAUUUUCUACCAUUGUCAGUUCCCUGUUUUCAUCACACUGGUAGGCUGCAAAAUGUUCAUUCUAUCUUUUCUUGCCUUCAGAACUGAUGCUGAUGUUUGUCCGCGCGCAUAUCUAUGUGUUUGUGCAUGUGGGGUGCGUGUGUCAUGUGUAAGUGUAACCUGUGUAUAAAAGCAUAUCAUUUAUCAUCUUUGCUAAGUUGUGCGUGUAGUGUAACAUGUGUAUAAAAGCACAUCAUUUAUCAUCUUUGCUAAGUUGAGGAGUCUUGCAUGAAAUCGUGCGUUCUCCUAACUGGUACAAGAUAGUAGUGGUUUGCAGAAGGGAUGGAAAAGGGAGGUCAAUUUGAGUGGAUUCUGAACGACAGAUCUUAGACCAGUACGAUCUCUGUUGAUCAUAAUUCUAAUGCCAGGAAACAUGGAUUUGAAGGUUCGUUUUAUAUAUAUUUUUUUCUCUGUCAUACUAUGUCAUUAAUUACUUUGAUUUAGAAGGAUUUUUGUUAGUUUUGUGUUGAUUAGCAACAGAGUAAUGCUAUAUAUUUUCUGUAAAAAUUAAUUUCUUUUACUUGGUAUAAUCAUGUAUUUACGAUUAUGAUGGUUAAUGUAUAUUUCAAGCUUGGAAUGUUUA